AUUGAACGCUGGCGGCAGGCUUAACACAUGCAAGUCGAGCGGUAACAGAGAGAAGCUUGCUUCUCUGCUGACGAGCGGCGGACGGGUGAGUAAUGCCUAGGAAUCUGCCUAGUAGUGGGGGAUAACUUGCCGAAAGGUAAGCUAAUACCGCAUACGUCCUACGGGAGAAAGGAGGGGACCUUCGGGCCUUUCGCUAUUAGAUGAGCCUAGGUCGGAUUAGUUAGUUGGUGAGGUAAUGGCUUACCAAGACCGCGAUCCGUAACUGGUCUGAGAGGAUGGUCAGACACAAGGGAAAUGAGACACGGUCCAGACUCCUACGGGAGGCAGCAGUGGGGAAUAUUGGACAAUGGGGGGAACCCUGAUCCAGCCAUGCCGCGUGUGUGAAGAAGGUCUUAGGAUUGUAAAGCACUUUAAGUUGGGAGGAAGAGCAGUUAACUAAUAUUUGACUGUUUUGACGUUACCGACAGAAUAAGCACCGGCUAACUUCGUGCCAGCCGCCGCCGUAA
rnacentral:rRNA from 1 species